rnacentral:lncRNA from 1 species
UGGGUAACCAGGCAGCAUACAUACCAGGCUGGCUAGAGCAGUGUUUGCUGGGAAAAGCUCCAAGGGGCAGAACCAGUGUCCGAUGCACGAGCCCCCGCUGCACAUGACAUUUAGGGCAGUGCACAGAGAACCAGCAGGGCUGAGUGUCAGGCUCCAGGAGAGAAAUUCUGACACUAGGCGGUGGGGCUUUAAAGCUGCACCAGCUCCUCUUCUGAUAUGCAGAGAUAGGACCCUUGUUUAUGAAUUUCCAAGCCCAAAUUUCUUAUACUGCAUCAUGCAUCUCCUCAAUGUUCGGCACUAAUGAGGUAAGACAUCAUCUAAAAUUAGGCAGUCAGUCCCCCAUGGCAUUUGACGUGGGGGCUGUGAUUUCUGGAGAGUCAAG